rnacentral:ncRNA from 1 species
GUGCAAGUUGUUAAGUGCGAUCGGUGGAUGCCUUGGCACCAAGAGCCGAUGAAGGACGUUGUAACCUGCGAUAAGCCCUGGGGAGUUGGUAAACGAGCUGUGAUCCGGGGGUGUCCGAAUGGGGAAACCUGGAAUGUCCGGAGUAGUGUCCGGUGACCCUGCCCUGAAUGUAUAGGGGUGUGGGAGGUAACGCGGGGAAGUGAAACAUCUUAGUACCCGUAGGAAGAGAAAACAACCGUGAUUCCGUGAGUAGUGGCGAGCGAAAGUGGAUGAGGCUAAACCGUGUGUGUGUUCAAGCCGGCAGGUGUUGCAUGUGCGGGGUUGUGGGGGCCUUUGGGUUCUGCUGCCGCAGGAUUGGCCAGUGAUAAAUGUUGCGUGAAGGUGAAGCGUCUGGGAAGGCGUACCGGAGUGGGUGAGAGUCCCGUAACUGUAAGCGUGGCACUGGUGAGGGUUGCCCCAAGUAGCGUGGAACUCGUGGAAUUUCGCGUGAAUCUGGCGGGACCACCCGUCAAGCCUAAAUACUCCUUGGUGACCGAUAGUGUAUUAGUACCGUGAGGGAAUGGUGAAAAGUACCCCGGGAGGGGAGUGAAAUAAGAACCUGAAACCGGUCGCAUACAAGCCGUCAGAGCCUUGUGGGGUGAUGGCGUGCCUUUUGAAGAAUGAGCCUGCGAGUUAGCGAUGCGUGGCGAGGUUAACCUGUGUGGGGGAGUCGUAGCGAAAGCGAGUCCGAUAAGGGCGUGAGUCGCGUGUUCUAGACCCGAAGCGGUGUGAUCUAUCCAUGGCCAGGAUGAAGCGUCGGUAAGACGUCGUGGAGGUCCGAACCCACUUCAGUUGAAAAUGGAGGGGAUGAGCUGUGGAUAGGGGUGAAAGGCCAAUCAAACAGGGAGAUAGCUGGUUCUCCCCAAAUGCAUUUAGGUGCAGCGUUGCGUGGUUCUUGUCGGAGGUAGAGCACUGGAUGGUCUAGGGGGCCUAUCAGCUUACCGAAAUCAGCCAAACUCCGAAUGCCGGCAAGUGGAGCGUAGCAGUGAGACGGCGGGGGAUAAGCUUCGUCGUCGAGAGGGAAACAGCCCAGAUCAUCAGCUAAGGCCCCUAAGUGGUAACUCAGUGGAAAAGGAUGUGGAGUUGCGUAGACAGCCAGGAGGUUGGCUUGGAAGCAGCCAUCCUUGAAAGAGUGCGUAAUAGCUCACUGGUCAAGUGAUUCCGCGCCGACAAUGUAGCGGGGCUUAAGUUAUCCGCCGAAGCUGUGGCAGAUCCUCUUUGUGGGGGUUUGGGUAGGGGAGCGUCCUGUGCGAGGUGAAGCUGCCGGGUGACCGUGUGGUGGAUUGUGCGGGAGUGAGAAUGCAGGCAUGAGUAGCGAAUGACGGGUGGAAAACCCGUCCGCCGAUUAUCCAAGGGUUCCAGGGUCAAGUUAAUCUGCCCUGGGUGAGUCGGGACCUAAGGCGAGGCCGACAGGCGUAGUCGAUGGACAACCAGUUGAUAUUCUGGUACCGGCUUGUCACCGUCCGUGUCGAGGUGUGUGAUGCUAAGCGUGCGAGCCUGCCAUUGUGAUGUCUUUGAUGUUGUGGUGGUGUGGUGAGUGUGUGAACCGAUCAUGUAGUAGGCAAGCUGCGGAGGGACGCAGGGAGGUAGCUCAUCCCCGGCGAUGGUUGUCCGGGGCUAAAUGUGUGGACCGUCUGGUAGGUAAAUCCGCCAGGGUUGUGGUUGAGGCAUGAUGGCGAGCCCACGGAAAGUGGGUGAGUGAGUGAUCCUGUACUGUCGAGAAAAUCUUCGUGAGCGAGGUGGCUGGUCCGCCCGUACCCUAAACCGACACUGGUGGAUAGGUAGAGUAUACCGAGGCGAUCGAGAUCAUCAUGGUGAAGGAACUCGGCA